CCUACGGGAGGCAGCAGUGGGGAAUAUUGGGCAAUGGAGGAAACUCUGACCCAGCAAUGCCGCGUGAAUGAAGAAGGUCUUCGGAUUGUAAAGUUCUUUAGUCAGGGAAGAAUAAAAUGACGGUACCUGAAGAAAAAGCAUCCGCUAACUCCGUGCCAGCAGCCGCGGUAAUACGGAGGCUGCGAGCGUUAUCCGGAUUUAUUGGGUUUCAAGGGUGCGUAGGCGGAAUGCCAAGUCAGCGGUAAAAUCGCGGGGCUCAACCUCGCUCCGCCGUUGAAACUGGCGUUCUUGAGUGGGCGAGAAGUAUGCGGAAUGCGUGGUGUAGCGGUGAAAUGCAUAGAUAUCACGCAGAACUCCGAUUGCGAAGGCAGCAUACCGGCGCCCAACUGACGCUGAAGCACGAAAGCGUGGGUAUCGAACAGGAUUAGAUACCCGAGUAGUC
rnacentral:rRNA from 1 species